UCCCCCUGGGUCUGUCUCGGUGCGCCAGACUGGCAACAUGGGGGAAUAAGGCUCCUCCAGAAGGGACGGCCAUCCUGUCCCUCGUCGGCGAGCUGUCAGACUCUGCCACCUCUUGCACGUAGAACAUUCCUCCCUCCCAGAUGGCUCACCCACCUCCGGGUCCCCAGCAGCUGCCCGAUGUUUCGCUCCCGCAGGGGCCGGCCCCAUCACUCGGAGUCCAGGUCUUGCUCACGCACUUUGGUUCAAAGCCCACGUGCUCAGCACUUCUUCCCACCCUGGCUGAAUUGCUGAAUCCCCACCACAGACCUGCUGAAAUCCCGCCACAGAAUUGCUGAACCCCUCCACAGAAUAACCGAAGCCUCACAACAGAACUGCCAAAGGCUUGCAGCAAAGUCACCGUACCCAACGGGAAACUUCCCGCACCCAGCAGUAAACUUCCCGCACCGCGUGGGGACUACCCUCGUGCCGCAGGACUCCGCCCAGCUCCAGAGCCAUUGGGAAGAUUUCCUGGAGGAGAUGGGUCUGUGCUAACUCUUGAAGCAUAAGUUGAGUUUGGAUUGACUGAGAAGAUGAAUCAGCACCAUGGAAGUUUAACAAGCCCUGAGGAAGAUCAGAGAGUUGAGAGAUAAGUCAACCACUCAUUCUACAUUGGAUGACACUUAAGAAAUGGCAAGCCCGGUGCUCAGUGUCAAGGAUAAAGAGAUAAAUUUCUAUAUUUUCUCCCUUUAGAAGAAAGAAUCAUUUCAGAAGAGCCCAGGUUGAGGAGCACCAGGUGAUACCAAACAGACUGAGGGAUAAAAAGGCAUGAGAAAUUCUGUGGAAAUAAGAGUUCUUCAGACCAAGAAUGGAGAAUCUUAAGUACAUACUUCGUUAACACACUAGGAUAUAAGCUUCCUACACAGGUCAGCAAUUUUCUUGUCCCUAAAUUGAAUGCUGGAAGAAGGGAAGUCAGAACCAGCAACACAGCAUCAUUUUGGGAGAAGGGGAUGUAUUGACUAAGACAUUCUCCCUCCUCUGAAGUGAGCCCUAUUUCCAGUGGAUUUGGUUCCAAGACCUAGAAAGUAGAGUUGGGAGCUAGGGAAGGAUUCUUCAAAAUAUUGAGAUCUCAUCUCUGAUGAAAAAGAACAACAAAAAUAAAUAAACAAUGCUCCUUCA